rnacentral:rRNA from 1 species
GACGAACGCUGGCGGCGUGCCUAACACAUGCAAGUCAGGGAGAAAAGGGUAGCAAUAUCCUGAGUAAACCGGCGAACGGGUGAGUAACACGUAGGCAACUUACCUUGAGAACGGGAAUAACCCCGGGAAACCGGGGCUAAUACCCGAUGUUAUUCCGUUGUAGCAUUGCAAUGGAAUAAAAAGCCCGCAAGGGCGUCACAAGAUAGGCCUGCGUCCCAUUAGAUAGUUGGCGGGGUAACAGCCCACCAAGUCGACGAUGGGUAGCUGGUCUGAGAGGACGAUCAGCCACACUGGAACUGAGACACGGUCCAGACUUCUACGGAAGGCAGCAGUGAGGAAUAUUGCUCAAUGGGCGAAAGCCUGAAGCAGCGACGCCGCGUGAAGGAUG